AUGAAUAUAAGAGGAGAGACUAUCUAAGAAGAUAGCGCCGAAGGAGCAAGCAUAAUUGUGAAUCUCUCAGGCAAAAAGACUCUUAUAGGACG
rnacentral:ncRNA from 1 species